GUGAAUAAGAUGGUACCAAAUAGAUAAUAAAAAUAAGAUUCUGCAUAAUUAAACAUAGUACACUUACACGAAUUUUAACACAUAAUCCCAGAAAUUGGAGAUAACUCAAAUCAUAAGUAAAAGUCAAAUAGCAUGAAUAACAAAGAAAAGAAAUAAAAGAUGCCAUAGGCGUCUCCAAGCGUUUAGCUUGUUUCUCACUAUCCGGUGUAUCUAAGAAAUAUAUGCAAUGACUCCAUGUAGUGGUAUGAAUCUCUAUGCGACUCUACUGCGAAAGUGUAGAAUUAAGACUCCAUUUGCUUCAAAGUGUGCAUGCAAAGAAAGAAAAAAAUAAAUAAUUAGAGAAACUAUAUGAUUCUUAACAAUAUAAGAUAUCUACAACAUUAAAAAAUAAAGAGCACUCGAGAUGUGAAAUGCUCGUAUUGCAAAUACAUAUCCUUAGCUAACUCACGUCUCACCAUCUAAACAAAUUAUAAAAUAAAAUCUAAAUUAUUCUUAAAACCUAUUCAGUUCCAAGAAGUAAACCUUAAACCUAUGAAUAUGGUAUUUAAACUCUCAAAUAAAAUCCUAAAAAUAGGGCUUCUAGUUUUGGCUAUUAUCGUCUACAAUACGAAUAGAAAAAAAAAAAGAAACUGUAACUAAGCUACUAUACUUUUCAUGAAAUAUACAAGGCCAUAUUUAGACAUCAACUUAGUUUUGUAUAGUCAUUAGGCAUAAAAUUGAUAUUUGAAUUAUUUAAUCCAAACGUCCAUUCUUAAUCCUAGAUGCAAGUAUGUAAAAAUUAUGACCUAAAAUUCAAGCUCAUUAACCAUUGAUAUGGCUUUAUUAUAUCAACUGCUUGCCAAGAAACAACAUCAUCAUAAUAUUACUUAUCUUUGACUAGAUGUAAUAAGUCAAAUCCAUUAAUCAAAUACACAAGUUAAAGACUAAAUAUGCUAGCACUUUGUUAAAACUUUCAACCUAAGCUGUGAGAUAAGUCACCCAUAAGCACAAUCUCUACUUGUAUAUAAAAUCUAACCAGCAAAAUUUUAUGAUUCUUUAGAUACAAAAAUCUUUUUAAAGCUAAUCUUUUAAUACAAAUACUAAAUAAAGAGAUUAUUCAACUAGACAUGGAGGUAAUUAAUAACAUCAUUUUUCUUAUUAUAUUUAAACUAGAGAAACAAUAAACUUAAAACGCCAUCUCGAACACAUAAAAAGGUAUCUAAGCCGUAAUUUGACUUACAAAAUAGAGACAAAAUUUAAUUUUGUACAAGCUGGGAAAGAAACAAAUACUCUUAACUUAUCAAUUGAAACACCAAAAGCACAUAUAGUAGUGUUUUAAGCAAGAGCCUUAAAAUUAACAAUUAUUGUAUUAACCCUUAUAAAUUUGUUCUUCUAGGUACUUAGUCGUAUUCCUAUUCAAUUAAGUCAAAAAUACACACAAUCCCUACGCAUGAUAUAUAUGUACACACAAGAAGAGAAAUUUAAAAGACAAACUGACCCUUUUUUCGGGCAAUGAACUAGGGCGAGGAGGCUUAGAUCUUUUGAACACUGACUCGGUUCUACUACCUCGGAUAAAUAUGAAUCAACGGAAUUAGCUAAUAAUCAUCUAGUUCAAUCCACUAGAGACCGAGAAGAAAUAGCUAGAUUAGUUAAAAGUGAGCAAUGAGCUUCUCUGGAG
rnacentral:lncRNA from 1 species